rfam:Heligmosomoides polygyrus genome assembly, scaffold: HPBE_scaffold0006139
GCGCCGGUGGUGUAAGCCGAACAUCGCUGCCCGGAAAGCAGAAGAUACGGGUUCGAGUCCCGCCUGGCGCA